rnacentral:misc_RNA from 1 species
GAAAUGCGAUACUUGGUGUGAAUUGCAGAAUUCAGUGAAUCAUCGAAUCUUUGAACGCACAUUGCGCCCGCUAGAGUACUAGCGGGCAUGCCUGUUCGAGCGUCAUUUCAACCCUCAAGCCCUGCUUGGUGUUGGGGCCCUACGGCUGCCGUAGGCCCUGAAAGGAAGUGGCGGGCUCGCUACAACUCCGAGCGUAGUAGAAUCCUAUCUCGCUAGGGAGGUGCGGCGUGCUCCUGCCGUUAAAGACCCCAUCUUUAACCAAGGUUGACCUCGGAUCAGGUAGGAAUACCCGCUGAACUUAA